GACGAACGCUGGCGGCGCGCUUAACCCAUGCAAGUCGAACGGAAAGGCCUGCUUUCCCUUGUGGAUUGCGGGUACUCGAGUGGCGAACGGGUGAGUAACACGUGAGUGAUCUGCCCCCAACUUGGGUAUAAGCCUGGGAAACUGGGUCUAAUUCCCGAUAGGACUGCAGGGUGGUGCCUGUGGUGGAAAACGAUUUUCUAGUGGUUGGGGAUGAGCUCGCGGCCUAUCAGCUUGUUGGUGGGGUAAUGGCCUACCAAGGCGGCGACGGGUAGCCGGCCUGAGAGGGUGGACGGCCACAUUGGGACUGAGAUACGGCCCAGACUCCUACGGGAGGCAGCAGUGGGGAAUAUUGCACAAUGGGCGGAAGCCUGAUGCAGCGACGCCGCGUGGGGGAUGACGGCCUUCGGGUGGUAAACUCCUUUCGACCGCGAGGAAGCCACCUGGUUGGAAGGGUGGUGACGGUAGUGGUAGAAGAAGCACCGGCUAACUACGUG
rnacentral:rRNA from 1 species